CUUCUUCUCCUCUCUCUCUUCUGUUACCCAACCUCGACCGAUUCUUCAACCCACAAACAAGAAUUCACACAGACAACUUCUAUGCAAAAACCAUUCUAAAGAAGUUUCUGACUUAAAGUUUUGUUCAGAACAUGGAAAGUUAGGAGACAUUCAUGUUAUGUGUGGCAAUUGCUCAUCUGAGGUAGGUGAAUUUUUUUUUUUUUUUUUUUGUGGUUUGUGAGAAAAAGAUUGAAUUUUGUGAGAAAGAUGAGGUGGGUUUGAAGUGUUCUUGUUGUGGGGUUGAGUUUAAAAGAAAAGGGUUUGAAUUUAAUGAAAAUUCUUCAUGGGAUUUUGUUGGGUUUGAGAAAAAUGGUAAUUUGGUUGCCGAAUUGAUUGGAUCAGGGUUAGUGAGUGGUGAUUUAGGGGAAAAUGUGAAUCAUGAAUAUGAAGUUCAAGUUCUUGAGAACGAAACAGAGGAAACAGGUGAUUUGAUUGAGUUUGAAAAGAGGGAAGAGUAAAAAAUCUGAAUCACCAACUCAAGAUCUUGAGUUUUUGUUUGAUUGUAGUGGGAAUCAGUUGGUUCCGAUCGAAUCGGUUGAUGAUUUAGAGGUGAAUGAGGUGAUGGCAGCGGGGUGGAGGUGUUACGGUUGUGGGUUUUCCGGCGAUGUCCGGGUGAGAUGGUGGUGGCGUGGUGGAGUUGUUAUGGAGGGGCGUUUUUCCGGCGAUGGUGGGGUGGAUCUGUUAUGGUGGUGGGUGCUAUCAUAUAUAUAUAUAUAUAUAUGGAACCCAUUAAGUGGAAGUUACCUUUGAAAUCAAUAUCAUCCGCUCGAUUAUGCUAAGAUUAAAUCUACCAUGUAAACUCUUAAUUUUAACCGCUGUCUUGGCAGCUCUGAACGGUUACUUGCAGCAAGCAUGUUUUUCUGUCCAUGUUCCUUGAACUCUAUCAGCACCAUCCUAUGUUCUCAGCAGUUUUUCUGUCCAUAUUUUAUGCAGUUCAGCACCUAAAAAAAUGGGUAGUGGUGGAUUUAACUACUCAGUUCCUAAAAAAAUGGGUAGUGGUGGUAAGGUUAAAUCACAGCGGUAUAAACUCAUUAAAAAAAACUGAAAAUCUGGCAGUUAACGGCGAUUCCACAAUCUCUCUCCUAUCCAUAUGCGGUUAGCGAAAUAAAGCAGCAGUUAGCACAAAAAUAGUUAUACGUGAUGCGGUUUAGUGGUUACCUGCUUCCCUCCAACUGCCUUCCCGUCCCCUUUUAACCUUAAAAGAAACACACCGACUUGAGUGUUUGGAUUUAGGGCUUGGUUUCAAUCACCACAUGUUACUUCCAAAUGUGUCACAAGCGUGUCUUAGUUCUCUGGCGACGGUGAAGAUAUAUCCCUCCGAUCAGUACCCACUCGAAUCCAUCACCCAGAUGUUCGUCGGUCAUGUCUCAACUCUUUAUCUCGUAGCUUUCUCGAUUGAAAACGGGGAUUAUGGUUCGUAUUUUGUUGAAUCUCGGUAACUAAUCUGAAAUUGAAUUUGCAAUCUCACCGUUUUGUUGUCUUUAAUUUGGGAGAACUGAAGAUUAGAUACCUAUGCAUUCUCAAUAUCUGUUAAAUUUAUGUCUAACUUGAUUAUUGGAUGCCCUCAUAUUGUUUAACUUGUAAGCAUUGCAAUCUAAUCUAACCAUGAUUCAUGUGUCGCUUUGGACAUUGUCCCAGCCAAAGAUCCCUUCAUUAAGGUUAGGCUCCUCCUUGUAGAACUUGGUGAUGCAGUUGUGGUUAGUGAUCAAGUAGCUAAUCUCACAAGGCAUGCAAUUUUAUUUCUUAAGAGAAUUGAUGUGGACAAAUAUAUUUCUCAGGGUUUCUCUCAACAUUCCAAUCUUUACAUGGUUUCAUUUUGUGCUUUUUUUUUUUUUUUUUUUUUUUUUUUGUUUCUAGCUUUUAACUCUCAAUGCUCAAUAGGGUCAAAUGGAAUAGCUUACGAGUUGAGAAGCAAAGGUUACAUAAGAACACAUUGAAUGCAAACAGUGUAGUGCAGUCUGAACAUGAGCAGCAAGCCCUUCCUAUAUGUGCAGAUUUGAAUACUUAAGCAACUAAGUGAUGAAUUUGGAAAAAGACGAAAUUGCGGUCCCCGUAUGAAGUUAAAACAUUAACUGUUGGUUCUUUUCCUGGAUCUGAGGUUGUAACAUCCCUUCGGAGUCUCGGUGAGGAACGUGAGGCUUUAAAGAAGAAAUAUCAAGAAGAAUGCCAUGUUUUGAAGUACAUAUUUCAAUUAGAGUUCACAGAGAAAAGGCGACAUUGGCCUCCAGAGUGUAUGAAGUUUACAAACUUUGGUUGCUUGGUUCCUCUUCCGCGCUUUGACGGUGAAAGGAAGGGCGAGGAGCAGGAACACUAACUGCUGGCGGCUAGGAAGAAAGAGCGCAGAUGGUGACCAAAUUAGACGACGAGAGACCAGGUUACUUGAUAUCAUCAAUAUGAAGCUACAUGUCUGAACUAUGAAGCUACAUGUCUGAACGAUGCUUUUAGUAAUUAUUUUUUCGUACAUAAAAUGUUUCAGGUCUAUAACCCAUACUUCCAAAGCUCUGACAUAGAGAUUGCUAAUGGAUUGACAUCUCCAUACUUACUCUCUAAUUAAACAUAAUAAUCAGAGUGAUGGGAGAAGGGGUAUUAUGUCUUGAAUAGAGUUUGGCUCAACUUGGAUAGUUGUUGGGUACUGCCAUCGUUGUUUUUUCAGCGGUCACGGAAGUUUCAACCUCCAUUCUUUUCGAUUGCUACAGGUCUCCGCACUCAAAGUAACGUACCGAUUGGAAUACUUCGUAUCUUCAAGCUAUCUGUUACUUUUUGUGAUAGUAUUGUUGUUUGACGAAAAUGUCAUGAUGACCUUAAAAAUACCUGUCCACCGAAAGUGUCAAAACUGGCAUGUCAGGUUGACUUGAGCCACCCUUUCCCCCUUUUUUUUAAUGUCCAACAUAAGAAUCGCCGGGUACUCCGUACGCGGCACCCAUUGGCCGAAAGGUAGCCCGCGGCAGCCCAACCGGCACGCACGGAGCCCCUAGCCCACCAUGCCACAAGUUCCGGGGAAAACCCGACCCUGCUCCCGCCCGAGGGUACGACAAUGCAAAGCCGGUAAAACUCGGGCGGAUCGGGAAUCGAACUCAAGACCAUACGGGAAGUAUAUGCGGUGUCAAUUGUUGGGUGGCAUUAUAGAUGUUUGUUGUUUUGCCUUGAGAGUUAUGUUGAUGAAUCAAGGUGAGCUUGAUCCAAAUAGUGAUAAUGAGCAAAGAAUUGGCCGGUAUUUUGAAGUCAUGGGAAGUAAAAUUUAAGAAAUCACAAGCAUUCUAAGGAAAAGGGUGGUCAUCAUUUUCACAACAAUUCUUUGACUGCAUGAGUUCAUAUUAUAUUAUACAUAUAAUUAUAAAUAAAACUUUCUUCAUUACAACUGUUCACGUUCGUUUUCCUUUUAUAAAUUAAAAAUAAAAAUGGUUCUUUUGUUUAUAAUGUUGUUUAGACUUGUGUCCACUUAAUGUGGGUGUUUGGGAUUGCUUAUUUUGAGCUCCUUUUAAGUUUUUGACUUCUUAAAAGUUAAUAGGUCAUUUUUGUAGUGUUUGGAUAA